rnacentral:rRNA from 1 species
UACGGGGGGGGCAAGCGUUGUUCGGAAUUACUGGGCGUAAAGGGUUCGUAGGUGGCUUGCUAAGUCAGACGUGAAAUCCCUCAGCUUAACUGGGGAACUGCGUCUGAUACUGGCGAGCUUGAGUGCAGGAGAGGAACGCAGAAUUCCAGGUGUAGCGGUGAAAUGCGUAGAUAUCGAGAGGAACACCUGCGGCGAAGGCGGGUAGCUGGGCCGACACUGACGCUGAUGCGCGAAAGCCAGGGGAGCGAACGGG